UACGUAGGGAGCAAGCGUUGUCCGGAAUCAUUGGGCGUAAAGCGCGCGUAGGUGGCUUCAUAAGUCCGUUGUGAAAGUCAAAGGCUCAACCUUUGAAAGCCGAUGGAUACUGUGGAGCUAGAGUAUGGAAGAGGCGAGUGGAAUUCCUGGUGUAGCGGUGGAAUGCGCAGAUAUCAGGAGGAACACCAAUAGCGAAGGCAGCUCGCUGGGACGUUACUGACACUAAGGCGCGAAAGCGUGGGGAGCGAACAGG
rnacentral:rRNA from 1 species